CUGAUUCUUCAACUGCACAGAACCUUUCAGGCCUAAGUGGUGGGAUUCUCCAGCACUACAGUCUUUGAAGGACAACAUGAAGCACUGAAGUUCUACAAGACAGUGAGGCAUGCUGCUUAUUCUAAAAGAUCAGGUUUGCUGCCUCCAGUAAGCUGCAUGCUCUCCACAUGCCCUUAAAGCCACCCUGCAGAAGAUCUACUGUAUGGUGUAGUGGCAAAAGAGAGUGACAGAGAAUAUACAAUUCAGAACCGGACAAGUAGUCACUGAACAGACAGAAGGGAAAGUGCAACAGUAAGAGCUGAGGCAUGAAGUAUACCUUACAGUUUAGAAAUAUGUGAGCAUCCAUUACUGCAACUGACCUGCAAAACUACCUUUAGUAUCACUACUGAAAUGCGAGGAAGCAGAAUUUCCAGGUCUCAGAACAGACAGCACUAGUCAUUCAGAGGCUGUUCUUUGGGGGUAGUUAGAAGCAGUCACAAAACACCAGUGUAGGCCUGGCUUGGGGACACUCACCAAACACUGUCCUGGCAGGGACUGAUUCUCUGUUCAGCCAAAAGGACACUUGUGACAAGAUCACGGUCAUUAUGCAGGGAAGGUAGGUCUGGAUGACAAAGUAUCCAAUCUUCCGCUUCAGAUGGAAAUGAGCUGUCAUGAUUGUGUAUUCACCUGAAAAUAAACAAAUUAACUCGGGCAACCACCUGUCCUACAGUCCUGCCUAUGGUUCCUGCCCCUGAACCAGAGGCAGUCCUAAAGUCCCCUUCUUUCCACCUUCCCACUGGACAACUAUUUGUUUGUAUUGUUAGGAUGAAGGAGAUGAAAGAGGAUGCAUAGAUUUCUUAGCCGUCAUUCUGUAAGUCUUUUGAGCCCCAGCCUCUGAAGAGCCUUUCCUGCUGGAUGUUUUUCCUGGGGAAAAUCAGAUUUGUGUGUUUUCCUAAUCCCUGGUCACAAUCUGUGCCACUCUCUGCCCACCCCCUCACUGCUACUGCCAUCAGGAUUUCAGGAUUUAGUCUCUCCAGAUAUAACUCAGGACAUCACAGAGCCCUGUUGCAGGUGGAGAAUUGUUCUCCCUAUUUCCCAGCCAGGGAAAGCUGGCAGGAGCUGGGGGAAAGCACUCCCCACAGGCUCUGCACUCCGUGACAGACCCAGGUGGAGGGUGAAGAACAGCAGUUUGAGGAGGCCACUGGUCUGGCAGCCCCUCCCUCCUGCCACCUACCAGGGGAGAUCGGGGCAUUUCCUUGGAGAUGCCCCAGUGCCUUCUCUGGAUCUGCCUGGCUGUGUGGGAGGCCAGAGGGGACCUCCCAUUCAUUGCUGAGAAUGACGCUGCCCUGAUGGUGAACUGGUAAGGAGCUGAGAUGGGUUGUGGUUGGAGGGUAUAUAAAUGGAUGUCAACUGGAAAGUCUCUAAUGCUAGAUUCCUUUUUCUGAAAAAAAUAUAGUUAACAUAUGACGUUGUAUUAGUUUCAGUUGUACCACACAGUGAUUCGACAAUUCUGUACAUUACUUAAUGCUCACCAUGGUAAGUGUAGUCACCAUCAUUCACCAUAUAACAUAAUAACAAUUACUACUGUCUGUACUCUACGUUGUGCCUUUCAUCUGUGUGACUGCUACCUGAAUAUACACCUCCCUAGGGAGAUGGGGAGGCUGCUUUGAGGAGUGGAGGCAGAGUUAAGCUGAUCUGAGGACAAGAGUUCUUUUGCUGAAUUGCAAGGAGUAGAUGGUGUGGCUGGGGAGCUGGAUAGAACUGCAAAGU